rnacentral:rRNA from 1 species
UACGGGGGUGGAGGGGCCUCUGGGUCAACCUCCCACCCGUGUUUAUUAUACCUUGUUGCUUCGGCGGGCCCGCCUCACGGCCGCCGGGGGGCACCUGCCCCCGGGCCCGCGCCCGCCGAAGACACCAUUGAACUCUGUCUGAAGAUUGCAGUCUGAGCAGAUUAGCUAAAUCAGUUAAAACUUUCAACAACGGAUCUCUUGGUUCCGGCAUCGAUGAAGAACGCAGCGAAAUGCGAUAAGUAAUGUGAAUUGCAGAAUUCAGUGAAUCAUCGAGUCUUUGAACGCACAUUGCGCCCCCUGGUAUUCCGGGGGGCAUGCCUGUCCGAGCGUCAUUGCUGCCCUCAAGCACGGCUUGUGUGUUGGGCUUCGCCCCCCGGCUCCCGGGGGGCGGGCCCGAAAGGCAGCGGCGGCACCGCGUCCGGUCCUCGAGCGUAUGGGGCUUUGUCACCCGCUCUGUAGGCCCGGCCGGCGCCCGCCGGCGACCCCAAUCAAUCUUUCCAGGUUGACCUCGGAUCAGGUAGGGAUACCCGCUGAACUUAAGCAUAUCAAUAAGCGGAGGAA